ensembl:snoRNA small nucleolar RNA, H/ACA box 27
CACCCCACUUUCACUUUGCCACGUGGGACCUUUAUGUCCCCAGUGGUCAUUCACGUGGGGAAAAGUAGUCCAUCCUUGCAUUACCCAGCCUAACUUUGUGUUUGUGCCGGGACUUUGUUUAGGAGACAGUA